UCAGUGAAGUCUCGCGAGAGCCCCCGCCAUCUUCACGUAAGCUGGUUUGUUUUCGUUUAUUGGGAAAACCGACUACUCUGAAAUCAUGGGAAGAAAGAAGAAGAAGCAAAUGAAGCCUUGGUGUUGGUACUGUAACAGAGAUUUUGAUGAUGAAAAAAUCCUCAUUCAGCAUCAGAAGGCGAAACAUUUUAAAUGUCACAUCUGUCACAAGAAGCUGUACACCGGCCCGGGUCUGGCUAUUCACUGUAUGCAGGUGCAUAAAGAAACAAUCGAUGGAGUUCCCAAUGCAAUACCUGGAAGAACAGAUAUUGAACUGGAAAUUUAUGGGAUGGAAGGUAUUCCGGAGAAAGACAUGGAGGAGAGGCGAAGAGUUUUGGAGCAAAAAAACCAAGAAACCCAGAAAAGAAAGCUGAAUCCGGAUGAUUCAGAUGAAGAUGAUGAUGAUGAUGAGCCGGGGUCCUCUUUCCAGCAGCCCGUUGCUCGUCCGCCUCAGGCUGGCUUUGUCCCUCCUAUGACUCAGCCUGGUUUGCUCCCCGUCCGUGGAGCUCCAGUGAUCCCACCAGCUGGAUACUCAGGAAUUCCCCCAAUGAUCCCGGGUGUUCCCCCAAUGAUGCCGGGGCUGCAUCACGGAGUGCCUGGAAUGCCUCCUGGUAUGAUGCCAGUAGGUGGGAUGAUGCCUCCAAUGAUGCCAGGCAUGCCAGCAGUCAUUCAUCCUCCGGUUAGUCAUCGUCCUGGGAUCACACACAUGCCUCAAGUCCCUGCUGUGAAUGUCCUGUCCAGACCUGCAGUUCCUGCUGUCAUCACUUCAUCGGCUCAGCCGGACAUAGCAAAACCUCUCUUCCCCAGUGCCGGACAGAGUCAACAGACAGUAUCAGGAUCCCCCCACACUCCCCCGUCCACCACAUCGGACCCUCCAAAGCCCACAUUCCCCGCCUACACUAAGUCCUCUGCAGGUGUGGCCAGCCCCAAUGCUGACACCAGCACAGUCUCUAAGCCUCCUUCCACGGUGACCAGUAAGGCCGCCACCCUCACCACAACCAGUGCAACCAGUAAGUUGAUCCACCCAGAUGAGGAUCUGUCACUGGAAGAGUUGCGGGCUCAGCUACCCAGAUAUCAGUGCAACGUUCGCCAGAACACCCCCGCUGCCCCGUCAGUGGCUCCUGUGAACGCUGUCCUGCCUCCUCAGCAACUCUCCCUGGGGAAUCCCAUACCUGGUAUUCCCUCCAUCCUCUGUCAGUUUUCCGGCCCACCCCGGGGACUGCCGGGUUACUUGCCAGGUCAGAUGCUUCCAUUCGUGCAGGCCCAUGCUGUGAUUCCUGGGUUCCAGGGAGCACCGUCUCGGCCACCCAUGGGCGUGAGACCCCCCGUGAUGUCCCCUGGUGGUCGCUACUGAAGUCUGCCUUCCUCUCUUCUUCCAAUAGGUGUAUUGAAGUGUUGUAGAUAUGGUUCGUAGUGUUGUGAAGGCGCUGGAGUAACACGGGCAGUACCCCCCUCUCUCCCCCCAAUAUAUCAAGCAAUGCCAUGGGAGACUGGCUGAUUCCCUUCUCUCAGUGUAGUCCUGUUUCAGCCUGAGGCAAGUCUCACUGUUUUCUGUCUUCUUAUUUAUUAGCAGGGGCCCUCACAGCAUACCUGCUGUUGGAUGUAUCGUCCCCAAACUUGCAGCAAGUUUGGUGAAGGCCCUUGUUUGUUACCUUCCAUUUAGGCAUCCUGUCAUUCUGAUACAGUGGGGGCAAAAAAAGUGCUAAAAUCUGAAAAAUUAUAUAGUCUGAUCUUUAAAGAAUUUAUUUGUAAAUUAUGGUGGAAAACGAGUAUUUAGUCAAUAACAAAACGUUCCUCUCAAUACUUUCUUUUUUAACCUUUAUUUGGCAAUUACAGCAGUCAAAUGUCUUCACAAGGAAACUGUUGCUGGUAUUUUGGUCCAUUCCUCCAUGCAGAUCUCCUCUAGAGCAGUGAUGGUUUGGGCAACAUGGACUUUCAACUCCCUCCAAAGAUUUUCUAGGUGGUUGAGAUCUGGAGAUUGGCUAGGAAAUUCCAGGACCUUGAAAUGCUUCUUACGAAGCCACUCCUUCGUUACCUGGGCAGUGUAUUUAGGAGGAUUGUCAUGCUGAAAGACCCAGCCAUGUUUCAUCUUCAGUGCCCUAACCUCAAGGAGGUUUUCACUUAAAAUGUAACCAUACAUGGCCCCAGUCAUUGUUACCUUUACACGCUCAGACGUCCUGGUCUCUUUGCUGAAAAACAUCCCCGAAGCAUGAUGUUUCCACCACCAUGCUUUACAGUACGUAUCGAGUUAUUUAGAAGCAACUCAACAUUCUUUCUCCUCCAAACAGUAAAGUUCUUAGCAAAAACUUCUAUUUUGGUUUUAUCUGACCAUAGGACAUUCUCCAAAUCCUCUUUUGGAUCAUCCAAAUGCUCUCUAGCAAAUGCUCUCAUGUACUGACCUUAGCAGGAGGACACGUCCGGCUCUGCAGGGUUUGAGUCCCUGCAUAGCGGUGUAGUGCAUUACUGAUGGUAGCCUUUGUUACUUUGGUAUCAACUCUCUGCAGGUCAUUCACUAUUUCUCCCCGUGUGGUUCUGGGAUUUUUAUGAUCAUUUUGGGGUGAGAUUUUGAGGGGAGCCCCAGAUUAAGUGGUCUUGUGUGUCUUCCAUUUUCUAAUAAUUGCUCCCACAAUUGAUUUCUUCACAUGAAGCUUCUUACCUAUUGCAGAUCCAGUCUUCCCAGCCUAGUGCUGGUCAACAAUUUUGUUUUUUGGUGUCCUUAGACAGCUCUUUGGUCUUAACCAUAGUGGAGUUUGGAGUGUGAGUGUUUGAGUUUGUGGACAGGUGUCUUUGAUAUAGAUAACAAGUUCAAAUAGGUGUCAAUAAAACAGGUAAUGAGUGGAGGACAGAGGAUCCUCUUACAGAAGAAGUUACAGGUCUGUGAGAUACUUUUUUGUACGUGACAAAUAACGUUUUCCACCAUAAUUUGCAAAUAGUCUUUAAAAAAGAGACAAUGUAAUUUUCUGUAUUUCUUUCCUCAUUUUGUCUAUCGUUGAGGUUUUAUAAUGAAAAUUAUAGGCCUCUUUCAUCAUUCACAGUGGGAGAACUUACCCAAUUGGUGGCUGACUAAAUACUUUUUUUGCACCACUGUAUGUUGGCCUGUGACAUUUUGAAUACAAGCAUUUUUUUUCACUAUUCUUUUUUAAUGUUUUACUUCAAUUAAAAUGACCUUUUAAAAGCCUUAAAAUAUCAGUUAAAGAACUUUGUGGAGUGAAGGAUUCUCACACCUCAACAUUUGGUUAUCAAAUCAGCCGCAUUUUCCUGAUUUGCUUAUCGUUGAACACAGUGGUGGGGUAAAGCAUCUCUACUGUCAAGCCUGAGAUUUGAUCACCUAAAACGGCUGCUCAACCUCACAUUAAAGCAUUCUGAGUUCAAUAGUGUGAUGGAAUGAUCAAAUGAAUUUACAUUGAUUGGAAAAAGACCAUACUGUUUUUGUCAUCAGCUGCUCUAACUGUUAAUUAUUGCCACCUUUCAUGAAGGAGAUUCUCUGCCGGUUGAAGCUGUAAGUACCGCCUUGCUGUCAAUUGUUGGGUUUUUUUGGGGUUAUGAGAUCCAAAAAUCUAUGACUUGGUAAUGUUUACAUGUUUCAAUAAUAAUAAUGUUAACCUUUUAUGUAAUAUUACCAUAUAGUCUCAUUUUGUAAGUAUUGAUUCAUAUUCUUUAAUGGUUUGUUUACUUGCUAAGGAAUAAUUUCACUCAUGUUUUGAUUUAACUAAAAAAAGAUACGGCUUUACUGGAUUGACAUAAUUUCUAAUAUAGAGAGUAGGGUCUUAUAUGUUUUUUGUCUAUUAAAAAUUAUAUUUUUUUGUUAGACAAAUGUAGUUUUAGUCUUUUAUUUACCUAUAUUUUGACAGCAACUUUCAGUCUUCCUUAGGGAGUUUUGCAAAGUUUGUCAAGACAAACAACCUCUUCAACCUACAUCUGUCUGUUAAAAGAAAAAUCAAUUUAUUUAUUUAAUUCAUGAAAGUCAGAGAUGAAUGGAUGUAGUAAAAUAUGUUGAAUUCUUUUAGGAUGGAAUCUUUCUUGUAUGUGCUGAAAUCUGAUUUUUUUUUAAUAAAUCAAUCCAACAAACUUA